rnacentral:rRNA from 1 species
GACGUAGGGCGCGAGCGUUGUCCGGAUUUAUUGGGCGUAAAGAGCUCGUAGGCGGCUUGUCGCGUCGUCCGUGAAAACCUGCAGCUCAACUGCAGGCUUGCGGUCGAUACGGGCAGGCUAGAGUUCGGUAGGGGAGACUGGAAUUCCUGGUGUAGCGGUGAAAUGCGCAGAUAUCAGGAGGAACACCAAUGGCGAAGGCAGCUCGCUGGGACGUGACUGACGCUGAGGAGCGAAAGCGUGGGGAGCGAACAGG